UACGUAGGGUGCGAGCGUUAAUCGGAAUUACUGGGCGUAAAGCGCGUGUAGGCGGCCAGGUAAGUCCGUUCUGAAAGCCCGGGGCUCAACCCCGGGAGGCGGAUGGAUACUGCUUGGCUCGAGUCCGGAAGAGGCGAGUGGAAUUCCCGGUGUAGCGGUGAAAUGCGCAGAUAUCGGGAGGAACACCAAUGGCGAAGGCAGCUCGCUGGGACGGUACUGACGCUGAGACGCGAAAGCGUGGGGAGCAAACAGG
rnacentral:rRNA from 1 species